rnacentral:SRP_RNA from 1 species
GCCGGGCAUGGUGGUGCAUGCCUGUAAUCCCAGCUACGCAGGAGGCUGAGGCAGGAGAAUCACUUGAAUCCAGGAGGCGGAGGCUGCAGUGAGCCGAGAUCGUGCCACUGCACUCCAGCCUGGGUGACAGAGUGAGACUCUGUCUCAA